CCUACGGGAGGCAGCAGUGGGGGAUAUUGCACAAUGGGGGAAACCCUGAUGCAGCGACGCCGCGUGAGUGAAGACUUAUUUCGGUAUGUAACACUCUAUCAACAGUGAAGAAAAUGACAGUCCCUGACCAUUAAUCCCCGGCUAACUACGUGCCAGCAGCCGACGUAACACGUAGGGGGCAAGCGUUAUCAGGAUUUACUGGGUGUAAAGGGAGCGUAAACGGUUCUGUAAGUCCGGAGUGAAAGCCCGGGGCCCAACCCCGGGACUGCUGUGGAAACUGGGUAACUGGAGUACAGGAGAGGCAGGCGGAAUUCGUGGUGUAGCGGUGAAAUGCGUAGAUAUCAGGAGGAACACCGACGGCGAAGGCGGCCUGCUGGACUGAAACUGACGUUGAGGCUCGAAAGCGUGGGGAGCAAACAGGAUUAGAUACCCGGGUAGUC
rnacentral:rRNA from 1 species